CCUACGGGCGGCAGCAGUGGGGAAUAUUGGACAAUGGGGGCAACCCUGAUCCAGCCAUGCCGCGUGUGUGAAGAAGGCCCUCGGGUUGUAAAGCACUUUCAGUGAGGAAGAACGCCUGGUGGUUAAUACCCAUCAGGAAAGACAUCACUCACAGAAGAAGCACCGGCUAACUCCGCGCCAGCAGCCGCGGUAAUACGGAGGGUGCGAGCGUUAAUCGGAAUUACUGGGCGUAAAGCGCGCGUAGGUGGCUUGAUAAGCCGGUUGUGAAAGCCCCGGGCUCAACCUGGGAACGGCAUCCGGAACUGUCAAGCUAGAGUGCAGGAGAGGAAGGUAGAAUUCCCGGUGUAGCGGUGAAAUGCGUAGAGAUCGGGAGGAAUACCAGUGGCGAAGGCGGCCUUCUGGACUGACACUGACACUGAGGUGCGAAAGCGUGGGUAGCAAACAGGAUUAGAUACCCUUGUAGUC
rnacentral:rRNA from 1 species